UUGGUGGACUUGAGUUCCUUGUGGCUGUAGGACUGCAGUGCCUGUUCCCUGGCUCAGUUCCUGAAUCUCUCUGCCUCCUCU
rnacentral:miRNA from 1 species